UACGUAGGGGGCAAGCGUUGUCCGGAUUUAUUGGGCGUAAAGAGCGUGUAGGCGGCCAGGUAGGUCCGUUGUGAAAACUCGAGGCUCAACCUCGAGACGCCGAUGGAAACCAUCUGGCUAGAGUCCGGAAGAGGAGAGUGGAAUUCCCGGUGUAGCGGUGAAAUGCGCAGAUAUCGGGAAGAACACCCGUGGCUAAGGCGGCUCUCUAGUACGGAACUGACGCUGAGACGCGAAAGCGUGGGGAGCGAACAGG
rnacentral:rRNA from 1 species